rnacentral:rRNA from 1 species
GACGAACGCUGGCGGCGUGCUUAACACAUGCAAGUCGAACGGAAAGGCCCUGCUUGCAGGGUACUCGAGUGGCGAACGGGUGAGUAACACGUGGGUGUUCUGCCCCGCACUUCGGGAUAAGCCUGGGAAACUGGGUCUAAUACCGGAUAGGAGCCCUCCUGAGUGUGAUGGUUGGAAAGUUUUUUCGGUGUAGGAUGAGCUCGCGGCCUAUCAGCUUGUUGGUGGGGUAAUGGCCUACCAAGGCGGCGGCGGGUAGCCGGCCUGGGCGGGUGGACCGCCACAUUGGGGCUUGGAUGCGGCCCAGACCCCUACGGGGGGCAACCGUGGGGGAUAUUGGCCAAUGGGCGCGAGCCUGAUGCAGCGACGCCGCGUGGGGGAUGACGGGCUUCGGGUUGGAAACCCCUUUCGGUAGGGAAGAAGCUGUUUGUGACGGUACCGAGAUAAGAAGCACCGGCUAACUACGUG